rnacentral:rRNA from 1 species
UUCCGGUUGAUCCUGCCAGACCUGACUGCUAUCGGAUUGAUACUAAGCCAUGCGAGUCAUUGUAGCAAUACAAGGCAUACGGCUCAGUAACGCGUAGUCAACCUAACCUAUGGACGGGAAUAACCUCGGGAAACUGAGAAUAAUGCCCGAUAGAACACUAUACCUGGAAUGGUUUGUGUUCCAAAUGAUUUAUCGCCGUAGGAUGGGACUGCGGCCUAUCAGUUUGUUGGUGAGGUAAUGGCCCACCAAGACUAUUACAGGUACGGGCUCUGAGAGGAGUAGCCCGGAGAUGGGUACUGAGACACGGACCCAGGCCCUAUGGGGCGCAGCAGGCGAGAAAACUUUGCAAUGUGCGAAAGCACGACAAGGUUAAUCCGAGUGAUUUGUGCUAAACGAAUCUUUUGUUAGUUCUAGAAAUACUAACGAAUAAGGGGUGGGCAAGUUCUGGUGUCAGCCGCCGCGGUAAAACCAGCACCUCAAGUGGUCAGGAUGAUUAUUGGGCCUAAAGCAUCCGUAGCCGGCUCUGUAAGUUUUCGGUUAAAUCUGUACGCUUAACGUACAGGCUGCCGGGAAUACUGCAGAGCUAGGGAGUGGGAGAGGUAGACGGUACUCGGUAGGAAGGGGUAAAAUCCUUUAAUCUAUUGAUGACCACCUGUGGCGAAGGCGGUCUACCAGAACACGUCCGACGGUGAGGGAUGAAAGCUGGGGGAGCAAACCGGAUUAGAUACCCGGGUAGUCCCAGCUGUAAACUAUGCAAACUCAGUGAUGCAUUGACUUGUGGUCAAUGCAGUGCUGCAGGGAAGCCGUUAAGUUUGCCGCCUGGGAAGUACGUACGCAAGUAUGAAACUUAAAGGAAUUGGCGGGGGAGCACCACAAGGGGUGAAGCCUGCGGUUCAAUUGGAUUCAACGCCGGA